rnacentral:rRNA from 1 species
UACCAGCUCUCCGAGUGGUAGGGAUGAUUAUUGGGCUUAAAGCGUCCGUAGCCGGCUUAGCAAGUCUCCUGUUAAACUCAGCGACUUAAUCGUUGAAUCGCGGGAGAUACUACUAGGCUAGGAGGCGGGAGAGGUCGACGGUACUUCCGGGGUAGGGGUGAAAUCCUAUAAUCCCGGGAGGACCACCAGUGGCGAAGGCUGUCGACUAGAACGCGCUCGACGGUGAGGGACGAAAGCUUGGGGAGCGAACCGGAUUAGAUACCCGGGUAGUCCCAGCUGUAAACGAUGCGGGCUAGGUGUUGGAAUGGCUACGUGCCAUUUCAGUGCCGCAGGGAAGCCAUUAAGCCCGCCGCCUGGGGAGUACGGCCGCAAGGCUGAAACUUAAAGGAAUUGGCGGGGGAGCACCACAAGGCGUGAAGCUUGCGGUUC